GAACAACGCUGAACCGGGUUCCAUUGCCGCUGCAUGUUUAUUGCCGUUUUAUUGGCACACGCUCUUCUGUGGUUUCUGCCUCACUUCAGCCUGGUCCCAGCCCAGAGAUGGUGGUGGAGGCCCGUGUUAAUGAGGGCAAUUUGUUUUGGCUGGGGAUCUUAGAGUCUUGUGUUUCUUUUGUCUCAAUGCCUGCUGCUCUGGUUCUGGGCCUCGUGCACACAUGGACGCCUGGCUCUGCACCCUACAGUCUCAGUGCAUCUGACCCCACCCAGGGGCAAGGCUGCCCAAAGGGACUUAGUCAGAGUGGCUGAGAGGGUGGCUCUAGCUAUCAGAGGUGGCAUUCCAAGUCACGUCAGGGAGGACCCUGGGGAGGGCCAACCUGCUGUAGAUUUUUCUCCCUCUGGAUCAUUGGACCAGGCAGCCACAAGCUGAAGUCAAGUGCAUGGCCGUAUACACAGACACUGGGAAGAAGCCACUGCAAAGACCAUGUGGGACCUCUCCCUUUGGACCUGGCACAAUGCAUGAGACAGACUGCUUUGACUGAUGUCAAGAACCCGGCAACACCUGGCCCAGACCCUGACCGUUGGAACUCACGACAGACCCUGCACUGGUAGAGGGACAGUCAUGCCUGCCCCGGGCGGAACAAGCUGAAGAGACUUCUACCCAUGAGAAGGUGUGCGGGGGAGCUCCUGAGGUCGGAGCUCCUUGCCUUUCUGAGAUGGUGAAAGCAGGUACGUUCCAGGGCGUGGAGUCUGUGGCUUUCUUGGUCUUGGGGCUGUGACAGCUGAAAAGCUAAGAGGGCCUAAGGCUUGAGCAUGGACCAAGAGGAAGGUGGGGUUGCUGGAAAUGCGCACUCAAGAUGCCUCACCGGCAAGGACAGACUACACUCAUGGGCCUCUUCUGGCAAGGCUGGCCCACAUGCAAAUGGAUGAUGGGAUCUGAAGGAGGCUCGAAUCAGCAAGGCCUUUGAAACUUGACGUAGGAGGUCAGGAGCAGGACAGGGGCAGGGGUAAUAUUCACAGUCCUUCCUUAGAACUUUGGAGAAAAGAGCAAGGUUGGAAAGGUCACAGACUACUGCAGAGAGGCCAGACCCAGACUUCCCAGAACUCCAGGUAGACACUACAGGCACUAUUAAGUAGGCUUUAAGGAAACAUUUGAGGGACAGGAAGAAAAAUGCAGCCAGAUAUCUGACGGGCUUGGUGCAUAAAUCAUCCCCAGGGAAGGGAACUGUCUGUCUGAAGCUGGGAUGAAUAGAGGAAUUCUUGAUAGAACAGAUUUUACAUAGGAAGAAAAAACUAAUAAUACAUGGAAGUAUCUAUAGAGAUUAAUUUAAGAGAUCCAAGGGCAGACAAGGAGAAUGUAAAUUUGCCAAAUGUUAAAUAAGAAGAAUCCAUUUCCCCUUAGUUUAGGCGUGUGUGUGUGUGUGUGUGUGUGUGUGUGUGUGUGUGUGUGUGUGUAUGUGCAUGAGUGUAUGGGCACCAAGUGUGUAGAUGGCCUUGGAUGCAUUGGACCCUUGAGGCAGACAGUUGUGAGCUACUUGACGUAGGUGUUGGGAACAGGGCUCCUAACAGCUGAUCCAUCUCUCCAGCCCCACUUUUCUUUCUUUUGUUGGGUAUUGUUUUUUAUCCAGUUUGAUUAGUUUGUUAAUUAUUCUUAAACUAAAUUUAUUCUUUUACUGAUAAAGACAAAUGCAUCUUAACUUAUUGGCAUUUCCUUAUUGACAAGUAAAAAAU